rnacentral:rRNA from 1 species
UCGAGAAUCAUUCGCAAUGGGCGCAAGCCUGACGGUGCGACGUCGCGUGGAGGAUGAAGGUCUUCGGAUUGUAAACUCCUGUCAUGUGGGAUAAAUGGCCAGGGCAUGAAUAGUGCCUUGGAAUGAUAGUACCACAGGAGGGAGGGACGGCUAACUCUGUGCCAGCAGCCGCGGUAAUUCAGAGGUCCCGAGCGUUGUUCGGAUUUACUGGGCGUAAAGGGAGCGUAGGCGGUUUGGUGUGUCGAAUGUGAAAGCCCACAACUCAACUGUGGAAUGGCAUUCGAAACUACUGAGCUAGAGUACUGGAGAGGAGAGCGGAAUUCUUGGUGUAGCGGUGAAAUGCGUAGAUAUAAAGAGGAACACCGGUGGCGGAGGCGGCUCUCUGGACAGAUACUGACGCUGAGGCUCUAAAGUUAGGGGAGCAAACAG